UUUGAUGAGUGUUUGAUGUUCAUGGU
rnacentral:piRNA from 1 species